UACGGGGGGGGCAAGCGUUGUUCGGAAUUACUGGGCGUAAAGGGCGCGUAGGCGGCUUUUCAAGUCGGGCGUGAAAUCUCCAGGCUUAACCUGGAAGGGUCGUUCGAUACUGUUAAGCUGGAGUGUGGAAGAGGCUACUGGAAUUCCGUGUGUAGCGGUGAAAUGCGUAGAUAUCGGGAGGAAUACCAGUGGCGCAAGCGGCGCCCUGGCCGUGACCUGACACUGAGCCACGACGGCGUGGGGAGCAAACGGG
rnacentral:rRNA from 1 species